rnacentral:lncRNA from 10 species
UGCAGUAUUUGGUUUUCUGUUCCUGCGUUAGUUUGCUAAGGAUAAUGGCCAUUAUCUUAGCCAUUUGAAAAUAAUGAUUUAACCUCUCUCACCUUCAUUGUCAUUUUAGAAGAAACUACCAUUUGGUGUCCUGCUGAGACAAGAAAAUAUUUUCACAACUCAAGACAAGUUAAAUAUCCACUUAUGGGAACAGUGCUGAAGGCCUGGACUAGGAUGGUAGCAAUGGAGACAGACUAAAGAAAGAGAUGCAAUCAUUCCCUUGCAUAUGGUCCGUAUGAAGACGGGAUCAUUACAGGAAAGGUGAAGGAGAUACAGUCAUUAUGCUCUAUAUACACCCAUUUUUAUGGCUAGCGGCUGAAGAUGGGAUGCUUUCUUUGCUGGAAGACCUAUUACCUGUUAGGUUGCAAAAGAUGUGAUCAUCUUCCUAAACAAUAAUUUAGAGUCCCAUAACAAUUUUAAGUGUGCUGUUCAUGAAAAUUUGAAUACAUUGUAUUGGGAAUAUAAUGGAAGUGAGAUGCCUCAUGUCGUGAGAAAAUCUGACAUAAACUCCUUAAGCAUGAGAGGCCAUGUGGGUAUGGAAGCCCUGAAAGGGAGGAAAAAACAGCCAGACCCUAGCUGUUCCAGUCAUCCCAACUGAGGUGCCAGACUUGUGAUUGAGGCCAUCUUGCAUCAUCUAGGCCUAGUAGAGCUGCCAACUGACUGCAGACACAUGAGUCAAUCCAGCUAAUGCCACAUGGAGCAGAGACAAGCCGCCCAGCUGAGCCCAGUCCAGAUGACAGAAUCAUGAGCAAAUAAGGUUGUUGUUCUUUUAAGCCACUAAAUUUUCGGGUGAUUUGUUACACAGUAAUAAAUAACUGAAACAACUAUGUACAGUUUAAUGAUCUGAAAUCAAUCCAUAGUGUUAUGAUAGCCUUUUUAACAAAAUUGAA